rnacentral:rRNA from 1 species
CAUAUCAAUAAGCGGAGGAAAAGAAACCAACAGGGAUUGCCCCAGUAACGGCGAGUGAAGCGGCAACAGCUCAAAUUUGAAAUCUGGCCCUCGGGUCCGAGUUGUAAUUUGUAGAGGAUGCUUUUGGCGCGGUGCCUUCCGAGUUCCCUGGAACGGGACGCCUUAGAGGGUGAGAGCCCCGUACGGUUGGACACCAAGCCUCUGUAAAGCUCCUUCGACGAGUCGAGUAGUUUGGGAAUGCUGCUCUAAAUGGGAGGUAAAUUUCUUCUAAAGCUAAAUAUUGGCCAGAGACCGAUAGCGCACAAGUAGAGUGAUCGAAAGAUGAAAAGCACUUUGAAAAGAGGGUUAAAUAGCACGUGAAAUUGUUGAAAGGGAAGCGUUUGCGACCAGACCUUUUCCUAGCGGAUCAUCCGGUGUUCUCACCGGUGCACUUCGCUAGGUUUAGGCCAGCAUCGGUUUCUAUAGGGGGAUAAAAGCUCUGGGAACGUAGCUCCUCCGGGAGUGUUAUAGCCCUCUGCAUAAUACCCUC